UAGGGAAUUUUUCACAAUGAGCGAAAGCUUGAUGGAGCAAUGCCGCGUGAACGAUGAAGGUCUUUAAGAUUGUAAAGUUCUUUUAUUUGGGAAGAAUGACUUUAGCAGGUAAUGGCUAGAGUUUGACUGUACCAUUUUGAAUAAGUGACGACUAACUAUGUGCCAGCAGUCGCGGUAAUACAUAGGUCGCAAGCGUUAUCCGGAUUUAUUGGGCGUAAAGCAAGCGCAGGCGGAUUGAAAAGUCUGGUGUUAAAGGCAGCUGCUUAACAGUUGUAUGCAUUGGAAACUAUUAAUCUAGAGUGUGGUAGGGAGUUUUGGAAUUUCAUGUGGAGCGGUGAAAUGCGUAGAUAUAUGAAGGAACACCAGUGGCGAAGGCGAAAACUUAGGCCAUUACUGACGCUUAGGCUUGAAAGUGUGGGGAGCAAAUAGGAUUAGAUACCCUAGUAGUCCACACCGUAAACGAUAGAUACUAGCUGUCGGGGCGAUCCCCUCGGUAGUGAAGUUAACACAUUAAGUAUCUCGCCAGGGUAGUACAUUCGCAAGAAUG
rnacentral:rRNA from 1 species